GACGAACGCUGGCGGCGUGCUUAACACAUGCAAGUCGAACGGAAAGGCCCUGCUUUUGUGGGGUGCUCGAGUGGCGAACGGGUGAGUAACACGUGAGUAACCUGCCCUGGACUUUGGGAUAACUUCAGGAAACUGGGGCUAAUACCGGAUAGGAGCUCCUGCUACAUGGUGGGGGUUGGAAAGUUUCGGCGGUUGGGGAUGGACUCGCGGCUUAUCAGCUUGUUGGUGGGGUAGUGGCUUACCAAGGCUUUGACGGGUAGCCGGCCUGAGAGGGUGACCGGCCACAUUGGGACUGAGAUACGGCCCAGACUCCUACGGGAGGCAGCAGUGGGGAAUAUUGCACAAUGGGCGGAAGCCUGAUGCAGCAACGCCGCGUGCGGGAUGACGGCCUUCGGGUUGUAAACCGCUUUCGCCUGUGACGAAGCGUGAGUGACGGUAAUGGGUAAAGAAGCACCGGCUAACUACGUG
rnacentral:rRNA from 1 species